UUGUAAUUACAUGUAUUACGUUAGUGAACGUAAUAGAAAAGUAAACUUUUCAUAAGUGUAAUCACUAUUGAAAAAAUGAUUUUCUUUAAAG